rnacentral:rRNA from 1 species
UACGGAGGGUCCAAGCGUUGUUCGGAGUUACUGGGCGUAAAGGGGGCGCAGGCGGCUCGGUAAGUCCAAAGUAGAAGCCCUGGGCUCAACCCAGGAAGGCCUUUGGAUACUGCCGAGCUUGAGUACGCGAGAGGAAAGCGGAAUUCAGGGUGUAGCGGUGAAAUGCUUAGAUAUCCUGAGGAACACCGGUGGCGAAAGCGCUCUGCUAGGCCGCAACUGACACUGAGGGACGAAAGCUAGGGGAGCGAAUGGG